rnacentral:rRNA from 1 species
UGGGGAAUAUUGGACAAUGGGGGAAACCCUGAUCCAGCCAUGCCGCGUGAGUGACGAAGGCCUUAGGGUUGUAAAGCUCUUUUGGCGGGGACGAUAAUGACGGUACCCGCAGAAUAAGCCCCGGCUAACUUCGUGCCAGCAGCCGCGGUAAUACGAAGGGGGCUAGCGUUGUUCGGAAUCACUGGGCGUAAAGAGCACGUAGGCGGACUUGUUAGUCAGGGGUGAAAUCCCGGGGCUCAACCCCGGAACUGCCCUUGAAACUGCAAGUCUUGAGUCCGAGAGAGGUGAGUGGAAUUCCUAGUGUAGAGGUGAAAUUCGUAGAUAUUAGGAAGAACACCAGUGGCGAAGGCGGCUCACUGGCUCGGUACUGACGCUGAGGUGCGAAAGCGUGGGGAGCAAACAGG